AAAAUUUUGUUCAUUAGGGAAUAAGUCCAACAAAAUUCCUUGUUUGCAUGCUUGUAAGCCAUCCAUCCAAAACGGUGAUUGGUUGACUUGUAAACCAUCUUUCGCUGUUUUCGUCUUAUUAUUGUUUGUAUUUGAACAAAAUUUUGACCACAAUUAGCUAAAACUGGAUGAAAAUUUUUCAGUACCCUGAAAACCUUGUACCUUGUCCUUGAAUGGUUCACAACUAUCUACAUCAACUAUAACAAUUUACUAAAAUUGUGAACGAAUCACGACGAACACAAAAUGACUCUACAACAACAUCACGACUGAAGAGAGUGUUUGGAAGCGGGGCCGGGGGGGGGGGGCUCCCUGGUUCUGCUGCCCCUGUAAGACGGCGAGCUUACAACGUACUGCUGAUACAAGUCCAUAAGUAUAAUGUCUUGACGAUAUACUAGUCGUUAAUAAUAAUAUUUAUCCAUGACCAGAAGUUCCACUCAACGCGAAGUGCUUUUCAGGGAGG